rnacentral:rRNA from 1 species
GACGAACGCUGGCGGCGUGCUUAACACAUGCAAGUCGAACGGAAAGGCCCUGAUUGCAGGGUACUCGAGUGGCGAACGGGUGAGUAACACGUGGGUGAUCUGCCCUGCACUUCGGGAUAAGCCUGGGAAACUGGGUCUAAUACCGGAUAGGAGCCAUAUUUAGUGUGAUGGUUGGAUAGUUUUUUCGGUGUAGGAUGAGCUCGCGGCCUAUCAGCUUGUUGGUGGGGUAAUGGCCUACCAAGGCGGCGACGGGUAGCAGGCCUGUGAGGGUGGACGGCCACAUUGGGACCGAGAGACGGCCCAGACACCUACGGGAGGGAGCAGUGGGGAAGAUUGCACAAGGGGCGCAAGCCUGAUGCAGCGACGCCGCGGAGGGGAUGACGGCCUUCGGGUUGUAAACUCCUUUCGCUAGGGACGAAGCAUUUUGUGACGGUACCUAGAUAAGAAGCACCGGCUAACUACGUG